rnacentral:rRNA from 1 species
AUUAGGCUUUCCAGGGGAUACUGUUAGACUUGGGACCGGGAGAGGUAAGAGGUACUGCAGGGGUAGGAGUGAAAUCUUGUAAUCCCUGUGAGACCACCAGUGGCGAAGGCGUCUUACCAGAACGGGUCCGACGGUGAGGGACGAAAGCUGGGGGCACGAACCGGAUUAGAUACCCGGGUAGUCCCAGCUGUAAACGAUGCUCGUUAGGUGUCAGGAACGGUGCGACUGUUUCUGGUGCCGAAGGGAAGCCGUGAAACGAGCCACCUGGGAAGUACGGCCGCAAGGCUGAAACUUAAAGGAAUUGGCGGGGGAGCACUACAACGGGUGGAGCCUGCGGUUUAAUUGGACUCAACGCCGGAAAACUCACCGGGGGCGACAGCAAUAUGUAGGUCAGGUUAAAGGUCUUACCUGAAUCGCUGAGAGGAGGUGCAUGGCCGUCGUCAGUUCGUACUGUGAAGCAUCCUGUUAAGUCAGGCAACGAGCAAGACCCGUGCCCACUGUUACCAGCAUAUCCUUUAUGGAUGAUGGGGACUCUGUGGGGACCGCUGCUGCUAAAGCAGAGGAAGGUGCGGGCUACGGUAGGUCAGUAUGCCCCGAAUCUCCCGGGCUACACGCGGGCUACAAUGGUUGGGACAAUGGGUAUCUACUCCGAAAGGAGUUGGCAAUCUCUUAAACCCAAUCGUAGUUCGAAUUGAGGGCUGUAACUCGCCCUCAUGAAGCUGGAAUCCGUAGUAAUCGCGUUUCAACAUAGCGCGG